UUUUAAAAGAUGUGGCCUUUUACACAACACAAUUAUGGUGUCUGUCCCCUUUUCUUCCACAAAUCUUCAAACACUCCCACCCAGGGAGGUGCUGGCAAGUAUCAGUGCUUUGGCCGCACUGUCUACAGUCUUAUCCAUUUGGCGCCUGAUCUAGUGCUCUCACAUUACCAGCAGUGGGUUCUGUUUUCGACUGUGAAAAGCUAACCCAUCAGGCAGUCUGCUGCUUCCAGCUACUGUCGUCCCACAACAUGAUGUUAAGCUGUAUGCUGCUGGUUUGUGGUGAUGCUGUUUGAGUUUGACAAGGAACAUAUUAUGCAAAGCAGUGCUGGCCCUGUCCCCAGGAGCAAAACCACCUUGGUCUGGCUUUUGUCCCUGGCCCCUCUGCAUUCAAACUGAGCCUUCUUCAUUCAUCCAUACCAGCAGCGGGGCAACUGAGAACACAGAAGAAACAGGCUUCCUGCUCUCACUUCUGGUGCCUGGCCCCUACCCUGGCCAGGAGCAACAAUUCCAGGGAAAGUCCAACUUUACCCUUGUAGCCCUGGGUUGGCACAUGCUUGGUCACUCUGUAGGGCUGGCUUAUGUACAGUCUGGUGAGCACUAGGAGCUGUGAGAGGCUUAAAAUGCGCAGAAAAGACAGAAUCUUCAGAGAUUUAACUACUAAAAUCAAAGAAGUCUCCACUGAGCAAACUGCAUUUUUUUCAAAGGCAUAUAAUGGCUAAAUUUGGGGAAAUUAUCCUGGGGAUGGCAAAAGGCACCUCUCUGACACAAAAGCCAAAUUUCAAGUCCCUGCUCCAAAGCUUGAGGGCUCUUGAUCUGUUCAAAGACAAGGACGCAAGGACUUUUUUAACAUUGGCAAAAAAUGUUUUUCCCUAGCCUCUUUCUUAGAAACCAACAAAUUCAGCCUGAGACAGUCACCUGCCAUGAAAAAUUUCAGGAGAAAUGGUUAAAAUUUUAACCAUUAUCAGCAACUGAAAAUGGGGUCUUACAAUAGAAAGUGUUAAGCAACCUUAAUAAUAAGCAGCACCAGGGCUGCCCGGGGGGGUAGGGGGGCAGGCAAGUGGGGCAAUUGGCCCCGCAGGGGCCCCGCGAGCCCUGGCCCGGCAGUAGUCUGGGUCUUCGGCAGCAUUUCGAUGG